AAAAGAAUGCAGCCAAUCUCCAAGGAGCUAAGCAGGUUUUAGCAUCGCCAGUUGCCUGUAGUCAUAACGUGGAUGUUGAAUUGAUUCGAAGGUGAUCAGGUGCUGCAUCAUCUUUAUUUUCACACAUCAAAGUUCAGGAAACAUUCAAG